rnacentral:rRNA from 1 species
AUUGAACGCUGGCGGCAGGCUUAACACAUGCAAGUCGAGCGGGGGAAGGUAGCUUGCUACCGGACCUAGCGGCGGACGGGUGAGUAAUGCUUAGGAAUCUGCCUAUUAGUGGGGGACAACAUCUCGAAAGGGAUGCUAAUACCGCAUACGUCCUACGGGAGAAAGCAGGGGAUCUUCGGACCUUGCGCUAAUAGAUGAGCCUAAGUCGGAUUAGCUAGUUGGUGGGGUAAAGGCCUACCAAGGCGACGACCUGUAGCGGGUCUGAGAGGAUGAUCCGCCACGCUGGGACGGAGACACGGCCCAGACUCCUACGGGAGGCAGCAGUGGGGAAUAUUGGACAAUGGGGGGAACCCUGAACCAGCCAUGCCGCGUGUGUGAAGAAGGCCUUAUGGUUGUAAAGCACUUUAAGCGAGGAGGAGGCUACUUUAGUUAAUACCUAGAGAUAGUGGACGUUACUCGCAGAAUAAGCACCGGCUAACUCUGUGCCAGCCGCCGCCGUAA